GUAUUCAACAGCCGCUGGGACCAAUCGUCGAAGAAGGAACUGUUGAUUUGAGGAAACACAGGGUUCCCGGCAGCAACUUCGCUGUGACUUAGGCAACAAAUUUCCAGCAUCAAUAGGGGGCUUCAGAUUAAGGACUGUGACGCGAGACGAGUAUCUCGGAGUCAGAUUUGGACUUUUCUUAUCGG